rnacentral:rRNA from 1 species
AGUGAACGCUGGCGGUAUGCCUAACACAUGCAAGUCGAACGGCAGCACAGUAAGAGCUUGCUCUUACGGGUGGCGAGUGGCGGACGGGUGAGGAAUACAUCGGAAUCUACUUUUUCGUGGGGGAUAACGUAGGGAAACUUACGCUAAUACCGCAUACGAUCUACGGGUGAAAGCAGGGGAUCUUCGGACCUUUCGCGAUUGAAUGAGCCGAUGUCGGAUUAGCUAGUUGGCUGGGUAAAGGCCCACCAAGGCGACGAUCCGUAGCUGGUCUGAGAGGAUGAUCAGCCACACUGGAACUGAGACACGGUCCAGACUCCUACGGGAGGCAGCAGUGGGGAAUAUUGGACAAUGGGCGCAAGCCUGAUCCAGCCAUACCGCGUGGGUGAAGAAGGCCUUCGGGUUGUAAAGCCCUUUUGUUGGGAAAGAAAAGCAGCAGGUUAAUACCCCGCUGUUCUGACGGUACCCAAAGAAUAAGCACCGGCUAACUUCGUG